UUGAAACACUAGUUCUCAUACAAUCACUGUAGUUAAGCAACAUUGAGCCUGGUCAGUAUGUAGAUGGGUGACUGCUUGGGAAUACCUGAUGCUGUAA